UGGCGGCAGGCCUAACACAUGCAAGUCGAGCGGUAACAUUUCUAGCUUGCUAGAAGAUGACGAGCGGCGGACGGGUGAGUAACGCGUAGAAAUCUACCUAGUAGUGGGGGAUAGCCCAGAGAAAUUUGGAUUAAUACCGCAUACGCCCUACGGGGGAAAGCGGGGGAUCUUCGGACCUCGUGCUAUUAGAUGAGUCUGCGUCGGAUUAGCUUAUUGGUGAGGUAAUGGCUCACCAAGGCGACGAUCCGUAGCUGGUCUGAGAGGAUGACCAGCCACACUGGAACUGAGACACGGUCCAGACUCCUACGGGAGGCAGCAGUGGGGAAUAUUGCACAAUGGGCGCAAGCCUGAUGCAGCCAUGCCGCGUGUGUGAAGAAGGCCUUAGGGUUGUAAAGCACUUUCAGCAGUGAGGAAAGGGGUGUCGUUAAUAGCGCCAUCCUGUGACGUUAACUGCAGAAGAAGGACCGGCUAACUCCGUG
rnacentral:rRNA from 1 species